CAUGCAAGUCGAACGGGAGGAAAAGAGAAGCUUGCUUCUUUUUGAAUCUAGUGGCAAGCGGGUGAGUAACACGUAAACAACCUGCCUUCAGGAUGGGGACAACAGACGGAAACGACUGCUAAUACCGAAUGUGUUCCGGAGACCGCAUGAUUUCCGGAAGAAAGGAUGGCCUCUAUUUAUAAGCUAUCGCCUGAAGAGGGGUUUGCGUCUGAUUAGGCAGUUGGUGAGGUAACGGCCCACCAAACCUACGAUCAGUAGCCGGUCUGAGAGGAUGAACGGCCACACUGGAACUGAGACACGGUCCAGACUCCUACGGGAGGCAGCAGUGGGGAAUCUUCCGCAAUGGACGAAAGUCUGACGGAGCAACGCCGCGUGAGUGAUGACGGCCUUCGGGUUGUAAAGCUCUGUGAUCGGGGACGAAUGGCUGGUAUGCUAAUACCAUAUCAGAGUGACGGUACCCGAAUAGCAAGCCACGGCUAACUACGUGCCAGCAGCCGCGGUAAUACGUAGGUGGCAAGCGUUGUCCGGAAUUAUUGGUCGUAAAGCGCGCGCAGGCGGCUUCUUAAGUCCAUCUUAAAAGUGCGGGGCUUAACCCCGUGAUGGGAUGGAAACUGGGAGGCUGGAGUAUCGGAGAGGAAAGUGGAAUUCCUAGUGUAGCGGUGAAAUGCGUAGAGAUUAGGAAGAACACCGGUGGCGAAGGCGACUUUCUGGACGACAACUGACGCUGAGGCGCGAAAGCGUGGGGAGCAAACAGGAUUAGAUACCCUGGUAGUCCACGCCGUAAACGACGAAUACUAGGUGUAGGAGGUAUCGACCC
rnacentral:rRNA from 1 species